ensembl:lncRNA
UAGUAAUAAUAUAUAUGCCCUCAACACCUUGAAAAGAAUAUGCCAGGUUAAAUACAAGCUGCCGAUUCCACAAACUAGACUGUUUCGUCCUCAUUGAAAAAAGUGUGCUUAGAGAGUAGUGACACUGUCUUUGUUGGUGUUAUAGCUACCACAGAUGUUGUCGAUAGAGCUUAACUUGUAUUCAUUCCAAAAAUGUUUUUUAAAGUGUCUGUCAUUGUUCUGUCAUGUGACAUACAGCUCUUGGUCCUCGUGGAAUGUGAGGGGUGCCAUACAGAUAGCACAGAGCUUCCCCAUCAGUCUGAAGCACAGCGAGCAGUAAUGGCCUGUCAAAGGAAAUCAUUUUGUCCAGCAGGAAGUACAUACUGGAGAUACAUGAAGAGAAGCAGGAAGAAACCCAACUAUGCCUGUAGAAGUUUGAGCUCCUGGAGGAGGCCCAGCUCCUCUGAAACCUCCUCCAUGAUCUCCUGAGCAGCAUCCUGCAUGGACUGACUGUUGUUUAGAAGCAGGUCAAAGUUGUUGGAGGUAUAAAGGUUGUAUUCAAAUUCCUUUUUAAUUCGAUUAAAGGCUGCAUUGGUUGCUAUGGGUAACAACAACAAAAUGGCAAUAACUAAACAAUAAGCUUCUUUCAGAGUAACUAAAUAAGUUUUAAAAGCGUUAAGAAUCACUCAGUACUGUUUAAAGUAGGAAUCUCAGAGGAGCUGUACUUACGAAAAGCCAAAGCAUUCUUCACUUGGUCAGCAAUAUAUGAUGGUAAGAUGCAGAACAGCUGUCCCACUGCCGGAAAAGCCCAUUAAAUCAAACAAUAAGCAUUAAUUAAAAAACAACAUUUGUGCAAACUGACUUAUUUUUAGUAAUGACAUGCAGUUUUCAGUUUAUUAUUCAGAAGUGCAUUAGGCUGAACAGCAGAUUUCUGUUCCAUAAGGCUGUAAUCAAUUAUUUUAGAGCUGAUUCUAUAGAGUCCAUGUUUAAGUUUGCUGUCAGAUCACGAUCAUCCUGUUGAGGAAUGUGCAACAUAUGUACACAUGGGGACACGACCACCCCUCUUCACACUGUAACAUUUAGGGUACUUAUACGUGAUAAACUGUUCCCACAGGAGCAAAUAUCAUCAUUAAACUAUAUAUCGAGCAGACUUUGUACUCUGUGUCACAGGAAAGAAUUCUGCAAUGGCAGAAUAGACAUAAUAUACCAAAUAUAAUAAAACCAAACCAAUGUGACGCA